rnacentral:tRNA from 1 species
GCCGUUGUAGCUCAGGGGUAGAGCAGUCGCUUCGUAAGCGAGAGGUCGGGGGUUCAAUUCCCUCCAACGGCACCA